rnacentral:lncRNA from 1 species
GUUAAGUUAACCAAAAUUAAGAGAGCUAGGAAGAGAUACAAUCCCAAAGAAUGAAUGAUUAAUGAUGGAAUUUCAGGAAUAUAUAGGCAUGAUUUGGGGGAGGAUAAAUGUUUUUGACUGUUCAGGAUGACUUUAGGGCUUGCUCUCUCUCUCUUUCUCUCUUACUCUCUCUCUCUUUCUCUCUUACUCUCUCUUACUCUCUUUCUCUCUCUUACUCUCUCUCUUUUGCUCUCUUUUGCUCUCUUACUCUCUCUUUUACUCUUACUCUCUUUCUUUCUCUCUCUUAUUCUCUCUUUCUCUCUCUUACUCUCUCUCUUUUAUUCUCUCUUUUACUCUUACUCUCUCUCUUUCUCUCUCUUAUUCUCUCUUUCUCUCUCUUACACUCUGUUUUACUCUCUCUUAUUCUCUCUCUCUUUUACUCUCUCUCUUUUACUCUCUCUCUUUCUCUCUUACUCUCUCUUACUCUCUUUCUCUCUCUUACUCUCUCUCUUUUGCUCUCUUUUUCUCUCUUACUCUCUCUUUUACUCUCUCUCUUUUACUCUUACUCUCUUUCUCUCUCUCUUAUUCUCUCUUUCUCUCUCUUACUCUCUUUUACUCUCUCUCUUUUACUCUUACUCUCUCUCUUUCUCUCUCUUAUUCUCUCUCUCUCUCUCUCACACUCUCUGUUUUACUCUCUCUCUUACUCUCUCUCUCUUUUACUCUCUCUCUCUUUUACUCUCUCUCUCUCUCUCUCUCACUCUCUCUCUUUCUCUCUUACUCUCUCUGACUCUCUCUCUCUCUCUCUCUCUCUCUCACUCUCUCACUCUCUCUCUCUCUCUUACUCUCUCUCUUUUGCUCUCUUUUUCUCUCUUACUCUCUCUUUUACUCUCUCUCUUUUACUCUUACUCUCUCUCUUUCUCUCUCUUAUUCUCUCUUUCUCUCUCUUACACUCUCUGUUUUACUCUCUCUCUUACUCUCUCUCUCUUUUACUCUCUCUUUUACUCUCUUUUUCUCUCUUACUCUCUCUUUUACUCUCUCUCUUUUACUCUUACUCUCUUUCUCUUAUUCUCUCUUUCUCUCUCUUACUCUCUCUUUUACUCUCUUUUACUCUUUCUUUCUCUCUCUUAUUCUCUCUUUCUCUCUCUUACACUCUCUGUUUUACUCUCUCUCUCUUACUCUCUCUCUCUCUUUUACACUCUCUCUCUCUUUCUCUCUCUUUUACUCUCUCUCUCUCCUCUCCUUUUUCUUUUCCUGCCUCUCUCAGCUUCUCUGUCCAUUUUUCUCCUCUCCUUGUUUUAUUGCUGACACUGAAAGGAUGAGGAAGAUAAUAUCCUAAAUUAGAAAGAGCCCUAUCCCUGGGAAAAUAACAGGACUUUCCUCCCUUCCGAAUAAACUGCUUUAUAUUUAACCUGAAGGACAUAACUCCUUCAAGCUUGAGCCUCCCUCUAACCUCUUUCUCCAAUCUACAGGUGCCUUUCUCUUAUCUAAGUCUUUUCUCUUAUUUAUCGAUAAGAGAUAAGGGGAAAACUUUCAAGCUUCAAGGGAAGGAGUAACCUUAUACUUAAGAGAGUGCCUGAUUAAAACUUACUGCAAGCAAGAUAAAGAUAGAUAGAGAACCCCCACUAAGGCUACUUAAGUCCCCAAACUCAAACUCACGCUGGCAGCAAAAGGCUGACUACUACUUUCAGAGUUCUAGAGCUAACCUGGAGGGGCUGGGUCUCUAGUAAUAGCCAGCACUCCCAGAGGUGUGCUCCCCAUUGAUAAUCAGCAGACUUUAUAAGCUUUUAGAAAAGGUGGCUUACAAAGAUGGUACUCAGAGG